UGUACCCUUCUCUAAGGAAUAGCCUCUGGAAACGGAGAGUAAUACCUUAUACGCCCUUCGGGGGAAAGAUUUAUCGGAGAGGGAUCAGCCCGCGUUAGAUUAGAUAGUUGGUGGGGUAACGGCCUACCAAGUCUACGAUCUAUAGCUGGUUUUAGAGGAUGAUCAGCAACACUGGGACUGAGACACGGCCCAGACUCCUACGGGAGGCAGCAGUGGGGAAUCUUGGACAAUGGGCGCAAGCCUGAUCCAGCCAUGCCGCGUGAGUGAUGAAGGCCUUAGGGUCGUAAAGCUCUUUCGCCAGGGAUGAUAAUGACAGUACCUGGUAAAGAAACCCCGGCUAACUCCGUGCCAGCAGCCGCGGUAAUACGGAGGGGGUUAGCGUUGUUCGGAAUUACUGGGCGUAAAGCGCGCGUAGGCGGGUUGUUAAGUUAGAGGUGAAAUCCCGGGGCUCAACCCCGGAACUGCCUUUAAUACUGGCAACCUAGAGUUCGAGAGAGGUGAGUGGAAUUCCGAGUGUAGAGGUGAAAUUCGUAGAUAUUCGGAGGAACAC
rnacentral:rRNA from 1 species